AGUCCAGGGAAAGGGCCGCUAGGUGUCCGGUGCCUUUGCUGCGAGUUCUCUGACAAAAUUGGAGGCGGCGAAGCGCGUUCCUCGCGGCCCCCUAAAGUUUGGCCAUUUUAAGUGCAUCAUAGUGUCAGUGGAAUACGAUUUGGUUUUCCACGAGACGUAAAAGUAGGAGUUUCAAGAAUAAAAUGAAUUCUCUCCUCCAGCUUCGGUGACUUCGGCAGAGCUAAUUCUACGCACGCUCACUCGCGCCACCACCACUCUUUGCUAGAAAGCUGUGGCCGUCUCUUCGGCAGCUCGCUGCCUCCAUCAACUAACCCGGAGCAGCUUUCCCAGCGCCUAGACGCUGCCGGGGGCUGAGGUGGGGCAGAGGGGAGAAUGCCAGGGUCACAGAAUACUCCCCAAACCCUGCUCAGCCCUGCCCGCCCAGACUGGGAGGAAAAACAGCCCGCACCUCCUAACUGGGGGAGCCCCGGCCUAGUCACUCAAGCUGCGCGGCUCGGGGGUGAGGGGUAGGGUGCGGGGGUGUCACCCGUGGAGCAUCCAGCUGCGUGACAACGCCGCCCCCUCCCGGUGCCCUGCCGAGCUGCGUCCCAAAAUGGAGAAAUCCGACUGUCUCUGUGGCAGAGGCCAUCCCCUCAGCGCUGCGCCUAAGCACUGAGGUGCGCCUGGGGACUCUAGGACAACUACCCUGUCCGCAUAGGGCCAUCGCUUCCUUCAGAGCACACCCAUGUGUUCCUCUGACCAGCCAUCGGCGCAUGAAUCUAUCUUAACCAGGCAUUUUAUACAUAUAUAUACAUAUGCAUAUUCUUGUGUGAGCAUGUGUAUAGAGAGAGCAUUUAGUGACCUGUUACGUGCCAGGCAACAGGCUAAGUGCUGAAGAUUUAAGAAUGACAUUUCACGUAAUCUAGAGGGCAUAGCACCUAGGUGCAUAAUUAUGGUUCAGUUGCAUAUGUAUUAUGAGAGAAGUAUAUUCUGACGCAAUCGCGUGGCGGGCUAACUACAUAGGAAACGGAGAGACACCCGAGAAGGUGUCAUUUGGACUGGAUCUUGAAAGAAUGGAUGUUCUUUCAGUAGUCGGGGAAAGAGGAGAAGAGCGUUAUCUACAAAGGGAAGCGUAUGGAGUUGGAGAAUGUUUGAGGAAGGAUAUGUACACUCCCGUGAUUAAUAAAUGAGAUUGGUAGUGCCUUGAGAUAAGGUUUAUGAGUACCAGGAACUUAUUGAACACGUCUGGGCUAUAACCUGUUUAGCUCCUUAACAUAAUACCUAAUUUAAUCUUCAAGAAGAAGGUAUUUCCAUCUCCUAGGGAUCUAGAAACAGAGGAAUCCAAGAAGUUAAGAAACAUUCCCAAGUUCCACAACUAAUAAGUUGUGGGGUCAGGCCUUUAACCCAACCCAUUUGGCUGUGAAUGCUGUUUAGUGGUCAUUACGGGGUAACGAGUGGUCUGUAGCUUAUCAGUACCUUCUUAUUGGAAAACAAGACAAGCACAAAUAGGAAGAAGGAACGAUGGGGAGGGGAGGGAAGGGGAGGGGGAAAAGAAGAAAAGGAAAUGGAGGAAGGGAGGGGAAGGGAAGGGAAAAAGAAAAGAAAAGGGGGGGAAGAGAAGAGUAAAGAAGAAAAGAGAAGAGAAAAGAAAAAGAAAAGAAAAAAGACCUGUUAAAAAUGUUUCUUUCAAAGACCGGUAUGAAUUCUGCCCCUUCUUAAAACAAAGCCAAAGUAAUAGAUCGUAUAUUAGACACGCUGUACUUUAAAAACCAAGGGUGUGUGCAUGUGUGUGUGUUUAGCUCUACUACAAUUAUUUUGUACUUUAUUUUUACCCUUGCUCCAAAAACUGAAAAUAAAGAAGACUCUUAGAGCUGAUGGACACCUGCCUAUGCAUACCCAGGAUUUCGUUCUGUAGCACCAAAGGAAUCUGCAUUUUGGCAAGCUGUCAUGGUGAUCCUGACACAAGGGCCCAGCCACACUUUGCGCUGCACUGAGAACAGCCACCAUAGUCCAGUUCUCUAAGUGGGGACCCUCCCCCAAGCAAAGGCUGAUCCCAUGGCCAUUCCCAGAAAUGGAGGGCACAACUGAGAGGUGGAAGCACAGCAUGAAGCUGGACUUGCAGGGCCCGCUUACGUGCUAUAUGCUGUGCUGGGGAGAAGAAGAUAAUCCCAGCAGCAGUGUGCCAAGACCGCCUCUCCCCCAAGCAUCCAAUGCUUUGUGGCUGACACUUCCUUAAACCUUUAACAAAACAUUCCCCCUUUCCCAACCAUAAUCCAGACCCUACUGCCUCCUGCAUUGGGACAUCUGGGAUAUCUUACUUUUGGCAAUGCCUUUGUGGGCAAUUUAAUCUUUGACUGGAUUAAUAUGUGCCUGAUACAUAGUGACCAAUCAUUACAUACUGUUGAAUGAAAGCAUAUGUUGUUCACUGUCCCACUUUUUCCUGUCUUCAAACUGAAAUAAUAUUUACAUUCUAGGAAAAAAUAUCCAUCCUUAAAUAAAAUUGCAUAUUCUGCUAUUGAAACCAUAAUUUUUUUCUAGAUAACCAAAAUAAUUAUGAAAUGAGAACGCCUAUACUUUCCAAAUACAUUCACAACUAAGAUAUUUCUCAACACAGUUACUCUUAGAUUAAAUUUAGAUGCAAAGUUGCUAAAUUUUUCCCCCAGGCUUUAGCUUCUGAACCUAUUUGAUAAAUUAUUUACUUUCUCCCACUUAAAAGGAAAAAAAAAAACACCUGUGGCAAUAUGAAGCUCUUAGUUGAUAAAGUUAAGACCACCACAAAACUGAAAUACGGACAGCCUAAAUUUAAACUGCUUUCUAAGCGAGCAGAAAAAAAGUCCUUAUCCUGAAAGUUUUAAAGGAAAGCUUUGCAUAGAAUUUUGAGAAAGAAACACUUAUAAUUAGUUCAUCUUAUUUUUAAAGUUACAGUAACAAUCAAUCUGGACUUAGCAAAAUAAGAUGUUCAGCUUCGGCCUUAAUGAUAGUUAUUAUUAUUGAGUUUGUUAUUAUAUCCCAGAAACUCUGCUAAAUAUUUUAUAUACAUUAUUUUUUCUAAACUUUCUCUAAAAACCAGAGCUGUACACAUUAUAUCUCCAUAGGAAAGAUAGGGCAUAAGAAGGUUAAGUAACUUAGAGAAAUCACAGAGCCUUGGUUCAGACCCAUGCACGUCAGUUCCUUACAUUCUGUGACUUGGCUUGUCCCCAGUCUUGUCAUAUUCCUCCUAGACUUAAACUUGAGCUGGAACUGCACUCUGAUUCUUCUUUCUUUCCAAGUUCUGGACAUUCAGGUUGGGCAUAACUUUGGAGACCAAGUGAUUUUAUCCUGAAACAACUGCUGAGGGCCAGAAUGCACAAUGACCUGACAAAGCAGAUGGCCACUUCUUCCCCAGCAGCCACGAAUGACCUCUGUGGCAGCAGAGAGCUAGCAAGCCAGCACCUUAUGGAGAAUUUGCAACAAACACCAGACACACUGAAACACAAUGGGGUGUUUGAAGACUGCCCCAUGUUCAAUUAGUGGUACUUUCCCCUUCUUGCCCUGCUUCCUACCUUCUCAAAAAUGGUUUCAGAAGAUGGGAAGCCACCAAAUAUGAAAUUAUUCAUUCAAGUUCAUACCCAGAAGGAGAGAUAGAAGAAAAAAGCACCCACCAGCCCCCACCCCGCCGCCACACACAAAACCUGCCAUUAAGCCUGCUACUUCCCUCUCUCAUAGCAUUCUAGCCAGUCUCCCCCAACAUUCCUGUCCUGCUUUUGGUCUUUCCACACCAGCCCUCUCCACUGUCUCUCUUGAUUUUCCACCUUCUACCACUUCUGCUCUUGGAACCUUUCUACAAAAAGUGGCAUGUACUUCUAGAAGCACCCUGCAAUGCAGGCAGAGCAGUGGUAGUGUGAAGAAUUUGAGUACUCCCCCACCCUUGUCUGUCCCCCACCUAUUUGCUGCCUUUGUGGUGCAAAUCCUAGUAAUUCCAGAGACCACUGGGGUAUUGCAUGCUUUUCCAAGCAUGCACACACAUAUGCCUUCUUUGCAGAGUAAACUGAACAUCUCUCUGCUGUCCAGUUAGUGUUUGUAGAAAAGCAACUGAUCAAAGUGCUUCAUGUAAAAAUUAAAACUCACUUGGGAAAAUAAAUUACCUGUUUUCACAGGGAAAUGGUGCUUGUGAAAUGACGUUUCCUAUGUUUCUUCAGAAAAUAAAAAAUGUUUAUUCAUUAUUCAGGGCCUGUGGAAGAUCGGCAACAUCCUAUGUCAUACAGGUUAGUUUGGGAAAAACCAUCCAAUGUAUUACUUGUAUAUUCUUUGUAAUCAACAGAUUAGCUUUUAUAGUUUUAAACUUUUCAACCCUUUUUCUUCUAUAUCAUCUCAUUUUAUCUUCAAAACUGUGCUGAUCAGCAUGAAGUUCUAAGUUUAGAGAUGAAGAAAGGCUAGAUGAUCUUCCCUAUAUUUACACAGCUAGUUAUGGGAAAGUUAAAGUUAGACUCAGUCGCCCUCAUCAUGCGGCAAAAGCCCUUCUAACCACACUGUUUAAUCUUACAUCAGUGUGAGUGCAUUUAAAUGAUCAGCAUCAAACAGCUAAGUUUAAAGAGAUCCUGUAGCGACACAGAGGAUUUUUUAUGUGGGCUACGUUCUCACCUGUGGACAUAGUAUAAAGCAUCAUUACUCUACUGUUGAGCAUCUUAUAAGUGUAAUAUCCUAAGAUUUUAUUUUAAGUGUGUUUAUUUGAAGUAUAUGACCACAUAAAAAUAACUCCAUUGAGAGUUACAGAUCAGUGAGUUUAGGAAAUUUAAUAUGCAAGCAGCAAAUAUGGUCAGACAGACCUACAUCAUCACUCUUAUAAUCGAACUUGGUUUGGAUUGUCCUUUAACAUAAUUCUUCAUCAGAAAGACUAGCUAGUAUUUUCUUAUGCUAUUAUCAGUGUUAUUAUGCCAGAAGUUCUUCCUGUUGUGACAUCUCUGUGAAAUUUUGCCGUUUCAAUCAGUGUUGCAAGGCGCAUGGACCAGACUGUUUUCCUUACUCCAGACAAAAAAGACAUUCAAAAGUUACAUUCAUUUGGCAAAACGUAAACUAGAAAUACACUGUAUUUUCAAAAACCAUCAAAUAUGAAUAAGUAAACUUUAAUAUUUGUAUUAUAAUUUUUUUGUAAAUUUGUGCUGGAAUAUGUUUAACUGCUCUGAAGAAAGUGUUGAUUUUACUUAUGGAAACUGUAAGGUUUUGUGAAGAGUACAAGGGAAGAAUAUAAUAUAUUAUUUCUCUUUUCUAGAAGGAAUUUAGCCAAAAAUGUUUGGGUACCUUGUAAAAAAUAAGGCUGUAUUCAAUGAGUAUGUUAUAUCCAGCUCAUCUUGAUAUAUUUUCAGCCUAUUCUUACCUGUUCAACAUAUGUUGAUACAUUUUUUAGCUACUGAUAGUUGAUUUUUUAUAUGAGAUUUAAACUUAUGGCAGCUGUAGAAGGCCUAUUUACUCAUAUGUAUACAUAAACCAUACAUUGAUUCAAUAAUGCAUAUUUGUUUGAAAUAACCUUCUUAGUGUUAUUUCUACCAUCACUUGUUUUUAUCUUUUCCUAUUAACUUCCUUCCCUGACCUCAAAAUUAUCUGUUGCCAAACAAAUUACAAAUUAAAUAGUACAACUAAUGUUAUCUUGAUGUUUGGGAGAAAUUACUAUGGAAUAUGAUAAGCAACCAAAAAACACAUCGUCUUAGAAAGUCUGAAAAACUGAACAAAACAUAAUAACUAAACAAAAGUUUCUCUUGAAGCUACUCAGAAAAUGGACAUUUUUAAAACAUUUAAAAAAAGAACUGUUCAAACCAGACUCUACGAAGAAAAAUAUGACUACCUUAAAAACCCUGAGAUUGUUAAGUGUAAGUAUGGAAACUAGCUGUGGACUUUCUAUAGGAAGUCACGCUAAGAUGCCAACAUUUAUUCUGGUAAUAUGGAAUAAAAGAAAUUCAUGUUUUCUUUCCUAACAAAAGAAAAGGCUUCAAGAUGCUAGUAAAUUAGGCAUUAGCCGAGAAGGUGUAGAGGAGAACAAAAGCUAUAAAAGUUAUUGAUAUUUGAACCAUGAAAGUGUCUGGCUGGAAGAGAUCAGUUUCCAAUAAACUACAACUCCUGCAGGGGAGCUGGGAAAUAAAAGAGAAUUUGGAUUGACACAUGAUUAAGAAGGCUGAAUAUUGAUAGUUUAGAUAAGUAAGAUAUCCCUAAAGGGUAAUAGAACUGCCCUCUAGGUUUUGAAAUUCAUAAUUAUUUAUGGAAGUGAAUAAUUGAUUAGCAUAAAAGUGAUAUUCUUAACAUAAACUCAUGUCAAAAUAUUAGAAAGGGAAAAAAUAUAUGGCACUCAAGAUUCUUUUCCCAACAAUUUCUCCCUGAUUUCCAUUGAAAUUCCAAAGAUUUUGGUGGGUUUUUUUUUUUUGUAAUUCACUGGAAUUAACUCAGCAACCACAUCCCACUCUAUUUACUUAUUGUGAGAUCUUUGUGAGCAGUAGUUCGUCAUCCUCACACUGACUAGAUAUGGAUUGUGUUGCUGUGUUUUAAAAAAGAAGUAUUUCUUGCAAACACUUAUGACUUGUCUAUGUCUUCUACAAGUCUGGACAUGUCUUGGAACAUUAUCUGUGUUCUGUGGGUUACAAGGCUUGUCGAGGUCAAAGUACUCAGACAUGAGACAGGCACCUUGUAUACUCCAGAGAGCUAGAAAUACUUGGAGAUUAAGUCUAGUCCAUGCUCAGAGUAGUGCAGAAUAGUGUAUGUAUUUUUAAUUCACUAUCUUAAAAGUAAAUGAUAACGUUAAGAAUAGUAUAUUUCACUUUAGUUAUUAUACAUUUAUGAUUUUUUAUAUGAGAUUUUAAUGUUUCAAAGAGAUGUUUAAAAAUGGUAGAUACCCAUUUUUCUAGCAUCAUUUUUAUAUACUAAAUUCAGAAACUUUGUAAUUGCCAUAUAAACUUGUGGAAUCAUGGAAAUCAUUUGAAUAAAUAUACUAUCAUAAUAUUUGAAUUAUGUUUUGUAGUACAUUGCAUUGUAUUUCAUUAUAUAUAUAUAUAAAAUAACUCUAGACCAAGUGCAGGAAUGACAUAAGAAUAUUUCCGACAUAAAAGUAAUUACCCUUUGCAUAUUGGAUCGGUCAUUAUUUUCAGUCACGCAUUCUUCAUAAAUCAAAGAAAUUGAGUUACCAUGACUAAUUCUUAAUCCACUUUGAAUCUAAAGAUAGCAGACAUUUGAAUUCAAAGUUUGAAAAACUAAUUAUUUAGAUGUUUUAUAUACAUCAUAUUUAACAGCCAGAUAUCUGGCUAAACUUCUUGUUCUUACUCAACUAAAAUGGAAAUUUUAGUUUUCUUCUAAAUUUAAUUAAAGAUCGAUUUGAUCCAAACAUUUACUCUGGAACUCACAUUAUAGAUUUUGAGUGCCUGUAUUGAUCAAAUUACCCAGAGGCUUUACAAACUGCACUUUAUACUGCACUAAAACUUGAGUAAGCCUGGCCUUUGACUCCCCUCCUAAUAUAGGGCAUGGCCCCCUCCCUACCUGUGGGCUGCAGAGUUGAGGGUGGGUGGGGGAGAGCACUGUACAACAUAGCCUCCUUGGGAAGUUAGAGUAUGUGUGCACACAUGUGCUCAUUAACUCCCCUAGAUUAUUUGUUCUUUCACAAAUCUUUCUCAUUUCCUAUUCAUUAAUACAAAUAAAUGACUGUUGAAUCAAUCUAGUGCCAUCACCACUGCAACAGACACCUACUGUAAAUUCUUUAAGUCUAGUAACUAUGGUUACUUAAAAAUCACCUAGCAAAUAAUAUAGAUUAAAUAGCCUAGAUAUGUUCUGUGUGUCGGAUAAAAGUACUCUUUUUACUUAGGGGGAUAACAUUUUCAGUUGGAAUAUAGUCAGCUUUAAAAUUUUAGUAAGUAUCCUCAAAGUUUCCAGUGAUUAUUUGAUGACUCACUUCUAAAGCCUCAGCUACAUAUGAUUAAUGGGAUUUUACUGCAGAUUUAACUUGUCCAUCUAUUGUUUAUCUUUUAAUGCUUCUGGGAAUACUCCAGAAGCUUCCACCACUAUUCUGUUUUUUAAUCAAGUGACAUAUGAAAAUUAAUCAAUUUUGGAUUGCAAAUUGUGCUCUCAUACAUGGGAUACAGAAUUAAAAACAUACCAUUUCCUUUCCUGAGGAUGCUUACUCAAAUUCUACAAUAAUAAGCAUAUAGCAUAUAUACAUUUUGACUAAGACUUUUGUUCUUAUUAUACUUUAAGGACAUUUAAGUAUAGUGAAUACGUGUCCUAAAUCAAAAAUAAAAGUAUGUGGCCCGACAACUAAUAUGCUUAUAAGGACAAAGGGGCAGUCUAUUUGAAAUCUCUUCACGUCUUCAGAAAUCUGAGAUGUAUGGUGUUCUUCCAUCCAUUGUAUAGAAUUAUGCUUCUUUCUUCAGUUCAUUCCCAUAAAAGCCUCCCUGACAGCAACAUUUCUUAUUGUCUAUUGGCUAUUAAGUUACAGCAGAAAUUAAAUAUGGGGAAUUCAUUCAAUAUUCACACACCCACAGAUAUUCUUCCACUUAAAAUUAAAGGCUUUUGCAUACCUAGUUGAAAGCUGACCAUAAUGUUAAUUUUGUAAAACUGAAAUGUAAAUUAUUCUCCCUAAGCCUAUGGACAAAUGUAGUAUCUCACUGAAAAACAUUGUGGCCUUCUCAAACACAGAACCCUCCUGAUGCCACUUUGUGUUUUUUAAAAAUCAGUUUGGGCUAAUAAAUGCCCAUAAAAUAUUUUAAUAUAUUUAAUUGCUCUAGGAAAUUAAAUUGAACUUUAAUUACAAUUAAGUAGAAGAUAUCAAAUAUAAUGCCAUUAGACCAUGAGUUGGUUCAGCAUCUGUGUUUGAUUACAUUACCCAAACACAUGAAACAGUCAAGUUUCUAAGCUGGUCAACCCCUGCAGGCAGUGACCUGCUGUUUCUUGCCAGUUGAAGUCUGUUUCUGUGUUAUUGCUCUUACUGUCAGUAGAUGAUCCUCACAGUUCCAUAAAUGCUAUUUAACUCUCUAUGGUUUCCUAUAUUUCUUAUCUGCUUCAUUGUUCUAGAAAAAGAUAUUCUUUAAAAAAAAAAAAGAAAGGAAGAGGAAGAAAAAGAAUGAAAGAGACAGAGGCAGGCAUUUGUUGCAGAACUUCACAAACUAUGACUAGUCAGGAUUUAGGUAAUAGUUCAAACCCAAGCCCCAAAAUAGCCAGUUCAUUUUGUUUAUAAUAAAUUGCAAAUCAAAGCAACCUGGUCUGAGGAAGAAAAUGGCUUUGUUCCAAUGAUCUAGAGGCACUAGAGAUCAGCUGUCCAUGAUCCUUUAACCUACGGCAAGGCCAUCUUAGUUAAGGCCACAUCUUCCUCAUUAUUUGUUUCUUGGGAAAAGUCAGUGGCUGACGUGGAAACAGCUGAGUGCGUUAUUCUAAAAUUAAGUGAUUAAAUCACGAGGCUGAGAAUAGGAUGCAGGAAACCUGGGGAUGGAUUUUUUUUCUCAUUCUUGAAAUUGAUUCUUGCUAUGAGAACUUAUAACAAUUAGUCCCAUUAAAAGCAGCCCAUACUUAAUUUCAAGUGGCCACAGUAAACUCUUCAAGGUUGAGACUUGGAGGAAAAAAAAGUAAAAAUACUUAGCACAAAUCAUUACUGAGGAAUUAAAAGGAAUCAGAAAGAUGGGAAUCAUUGGGAACAGCACUCACAGUACAUGUUAGAGCUUUGAAGAAACACUCCCCUAGUGCUUAGCUGAGAAGGGAUAAGCCCAAGAUUGUGACAGAAGGCCAGGCUGGAAAAACAGAAUGGCCGGUAUUAGAUGAAUGUAAAUAUGUAAAUAUGCCUUAGAGUAUGCCUUAGAGCAUGCUAAAUGUGCCUUGAAACAUGUAAAGUAUGCCUUAGAGAAUGCCUGGUCCUUUGUAGGCACUCAGGCCAGCUAACUCAUCUGCAGGAGCUGGAUAGAAUGUAAUGCUUAGGCAUGGAGACCAGCAAAGGCAGAAGAAGGGGCAAAACCCAGGUUGCUCUCCUUCUAGGCAUCAGGCCCAUGGGAGUUCAAAGAUGUUCUCAAUCUUACACUGUGGGAGUUAUCUCUCAGGGCAUCCAGUUUGAGCCUAAGGCAAAUUUGGCUGAUUCCAAGUUCUACCUGAACUCAAAAACAACUAUUAUAAUAUAUCCUGCAUCUCCAUCCUGCAACUGGUGGCUAGUGAGGAGUGAUACCAUGUGAAAAUAUCUGUUUGUAGAUUUGGAACUGCUGCGGCAGAAAUAGGGACUUUUAGUCUCUAGGACAAAGAAGCUUGCAGGUCCCCUUCAACAGUACUGCCCUUGUACAAAGCCAGAAAAUUAUCUGUGAUCUUUAUAGCACAGGAAGGACCUCCAAGCUAGAGAAGGGAUGGUUCAAGGAUGGAAACAUCUUUCUUAUUAAAACACCACAUAAAAUUCUGUGAGUUCUGAAUCAAGAAAGAACCUCCAGCUGGUGGGAGCUGACCCCACCAGCAACCUCUGACUCUUUUCUAUGAACACUGCCUUUCUCUAGAGUUCUGUCACUCUGAUUACCACUGUCACCCCGAAUUCUGGAACUCAGCAGACUUUUAAAAUUAUUCAUCUGCAGUCAAUUAAGCCAGCUGUACUCCUUUCCUCACAGGGGCUCGGUGUAAUGGCUGCAAACAACAGCCUCCUUUGUUGUAUACACAGCUUGUUUCUUGUAUGGGUUGCUCUAAAGAACAUAGGAGACAGCCGUUUCCAAUGUAUGUUUAUGCCUCUGACCUUUGACCUUGCACUGUUCCCAUUGUAGGCUCCAGACAGGUGUGCAGGGUAUCUCUAGAAAGCCCCAGGGUACCAUGGCCAGAAUUUACAUUGGUAAGUCAUCAUGUCCAUCCAUACCAAGGUGCAGAACAAGGAGCAUGUGACUGAGUCCCUACACAGGGCCAAGUUCAAGUUGCUUGGCCACAUCACAAAGAAAUGGGGCUCUAUCAAGUUUAAUGCAGAUGAAUCUGAAGACAUGGUAGUUGAGAAGUGUCUUAUCUCAGAUGGCUGUGGGGUCAAAUGCAUCCCCAGUCAUGGCUCCGCAACAAGUGUCAGGCCUUGCACUCAGGAAGGCUUCCACUGUUCUGCUGUCUCUUAGGCUCACCAAUACUUUCUGACAAAGAAAAAAAAAUGUUAGCAUAUGUUUAACCAAACCCUUUCUUUCCUUCAUCCUUCUUAUCAAAGUAGAGGCAUGUAGAAUUUUCCAAAUUAAUGUAAUUCGGUAUUACACAAAAAUGAAAAGGCAGGCAUUACAGGCAAGCUACAUUGCGUAAAGUCACAAUUCCAAAGUUUUAAGUCCUUGAUCCUAAGAUGAACAUAUCCAGCCCUAAAAGACUUCACUAUCUCUUGCUGUGAGUCCUCCACCCACCCCCAUCCUGCCUGUUAUUUGGUCAGUUUUCUAGCUGUCAUAUUUUCUUUCCAUCUUUCCAAGUGUGGUAAGUGUUCAAACAAUGGGUUGAAAUAAAAAAUAAGAAGGAAUGAUCCACUGUAACUGGGAUGGUUAAAAAAGGUGUCUUUGUAGAGAAAAGACCAGACUAAAGAGUAAACACCAGCCAGUCAUGAGAAGUUGAGAAAAGAGUGUUCCUGGCAGAGGGAGCAACUUGUACCUGGGCAGGCAAGAAUCUCUUGUACUGGAGGAACUCAAAUGUGUUCUAUGGAACCAGAGCAUGCAGAGGAAGGGAGAGAUGGCAUGAGAUUAGGCUGAACAGAAUGUCAAAGUUCAGAUCAUGUAGGUUGUGGUGAGGAGUUUGAAAGAUUUUAGAUUUUUUGUGUAAGUGUUAGAAGCUAUUGAAGGCUUUGAGCAGGAGAGUUGCAUGACUGGAUUUAUCUUUUGAGAUCCUUUUUGCUGCUGUAUGGGGAAUUCAUGAGGGAAAAAUAGAAGAGAAAUGGGUUAAUAGACUGCUGCAGAUAUCUGGGCAAAUGAUGAUACUAUCUUAGAUUACUGCUAUUCAAACUGUAGGUCACAACCCAUCAGGGUUAUAUAGUCAUUUUAGUGUUUUUUUUUGUGUAAUGUAAGAUAUAAUUACCUUUCUUAGAAAAUAUCAUCUUUUUUUUUUUUUUAAAUUUUAAAGCUGGGUGUCCUGGGGGAGACAUCACAUGUCAGCAGGUUCCGUGAUGUCCCCUGAGCUGAAAAACCAGCAAGUUUUUAUUAGGGAUUUUCAAAAGGGGAGGGAGUGUAUGAAUAGGGUGUGGGUCACAGAGAUCACAUGCUUCACAAGGUAAUAGAAUAUCACAAGGCAAAUGUAGGCAGGGCGAGAUCACAGGACCACAGGACCAGGGCGAAAUUAAAAUUGCUAAUGAAGUUUCGGGCUCCAGUACAUAUAAAGAGACUUAUUAAGAAAAGAUCAUCUUAAUAAGUCUCUUUAUAUGUACUGGAGCACAUUGGAUUUAAAAUUUUGGGAUAUGCUUUUAACCCGAUGAGAAAAUAGGUUAAUAAUAAAUUGUCACUGAAAAUCAGAAAUGUGACUUGGAAAGAAAAGGUACAUGUCAUGGGCAAUUACAGAUGCAGAAAUCCUUUAAUUAUAAAGCAUGCCCUUACCUGAGGAACUUUAUACUAUGCUGACAUGAGGCUACAUCUAAUAAUAAGCCUUUUCAUUUUACACACACAAACACACACCCACGAUCUAUGAACAUGUUAAGACCCAUAUGUUCAAACAACCCAUUUACAAAUUGCUAGAUGGGACCAGCAUGAGCGCCUUACUCCCUUCACCAAAUGAAGAAAGCAAUUUUGUUAUUUCAUCACCUUUCUUCUUCCUGGAGUCCUGACAGCAUCAGUUAUAACAGCAUGCCUCUUUUCCCUCAUUUUAUCAAACACCAGUCUUGCAUUUGAGUAGGUGACAAACAAAGAUGGCAGCUGUAUUUUCCUAGUAGAAUCUUAGAGCUCUUCAGAGUCACAAGAAUGAGCCUCUAAUGGCAGAAAAUUAAAUCCUAGAGGAAAUAACACUAAUGGCUACUUAAGAUAUCUUCCCCCAUUGCUUCUCAAUCCAGACCACUUAGGUAACUGCAUAUGUUGUUGUCCAUGCAUUUUGAUAGAGCCAUCCAGAGAACCACUCCUGACCUGAGUAGUUGUGCUGCUGACUCUACUGUAAAGCCAUUCCUGUGCCAGAUGAACCACAGAAUUUCAGCAAGUAAGGAGCUAAAGACAGGGGAGCGUUGUAAUCUUCAAUCUGUUUCUUCAUUCUCAAACCUCACAAUGUUGGCUCUUUCUGCAGAAUUUCAGUUUGUGUUUUAUUCACUGAGGAAGUCUGGUACGUAGAAAAGCUUCCUCUUAGCAUAGAUAAGGCUAACAGGCUAACAGUUAUUUGGGUAAGUAGGAUUAAUUAUCAGGAAGCUGUUGAUAGUUAAUGGCUGACCUGUAAAAACCUGGUUAGAAUGAGGUCAGCUAAAAUAAUAGGGUCUAUUUUAAGUUUGGGUCAUAUAAGACGUCAUUAAGGAUCACAUUAUUUCAGCAAAGAAAAUAUUGCAGAGAGUUAUCCUUUUAAAAGAAAAUAGCCUUUCUGCUGGAAAGCUUCCAAACCACACCAUUGCAAAACCUAAACACUUCAAACCAUUGAAUGCUAAUGUUUAACUGCCUAGCUCUAGUUGUCUUGCAAACCUUUUCCCCUUUGGUAAUUGACUUUUUCUGCAAUCCAGGUGUCGUUCGGUGUUUUAUCCCAAUUUUGUUUCUUAUGCUGAAGAAAACAUAUUUUCAUUGCCUAGGGGUUAAUUUUUUGAACCCCACAUAAUGUAGAAUAUAUUCUACUCUGUUGCUUGUGAUUAAGAGUAGUAAUCAGCAUUUUACUAGAGUUGAGGAAAGCAGCAAAGGGAAGGGCUAGCCCAAGGCAUAAUUGGGAAAUGCCUGAAAUUUUAAAGCCUUUGCCUCAUAAUUUGUCAUUUAACUAUUUUUGUGCCUUAAUCUCUUGUUCAGUCACUUAGAGCUGCAUGACCCCCUCUAAGCUUCAGUUUCCUCCUGUUGCAGGAUUGACUGCACACAGUGCAGUGUGCAGCACAUUCCCUGAGGCAUAGUAAAU
rnacentral:lncRNA from 1 species